GUGCUUGCUUCAACAGCACAUAUACUAAAAUUGGAAUGAUACAGAGAAUAUUAGCAUGGCCCCUGCACAAGGAUGACAUGCAAAUUUGUAAAGUGUUUGAUAUUUUU